AGCGAACGCUGGCGGCAGGCCUAACACAUGCAAGUCGAACGAACUCUUCGGAGUUAGUGGCGGACGGGUGAGUAACACGUGGGAACGUGCCUUUUGGUUCGGAAUAACUCAGGGAAACUUGUGCUAAUACCGAAUGUGCCCUUCGGGGGAAAGAUUUAUCGCCAUUAGAGCGGCCCGCGUCUGAUUAGCUAGUUGGUGAGGUAACGGCUCACCAAGGCGACGAUCAGUAGCUGGUCUGAGAGGAUGACCAGCCACACUGGGACUGAGACACGGCCCAGACUCCUACGGGAGGCAGCAGUGGGGAAUCUUGCGCAAUGGGCGAAAGCCUGACGCAGCCAGGCCGCGUGAAUGAUGAAGGUCUUAGGAUUGUAAAAUUCUUUCACCGGGGACGAUAAUGACGGUACCCGGAGAAGAAGCCCGGCUAACUUCGUG
rnacentral:rRNA from 1 species